UACGUAGGUGGCAAGCGUUGUCCGGAUUUACUGGGCGUAAAGAGCGCGCAGGCGGUCGUUCAAGUCGCGUGUGAAAGCCCCCGGCUCAACUGGGGAGGGUCACGCGAUACUGAUCGACUCGAAGGCAGGAGAGGGUAGUGGAAUUCCCGGUGUAGUGGUGAAAUGCGCAGAUAUCAGGAGGAACACCGGUGGCGAAGGCGGGGUCUCUGGGCCGAUACUGACGCUGAGGAGCGAAAGCGUGGGGAGCGAACAGG
rnacentral:rRNA from 1 species